rnacentral:lncRNA from 1 species
CAUUUUUUAACUAGUUGUUGGACCGUUGAUUCAUGAACAGGCAGUGAGUGGCACAAGAAAAUUUAUGUAUCCUGGAGAUAAAUCUCAGAAAAAUCCAUGUUGUGAAUGGCAGAUUUUUAAGACAUUGGAGCUAAUCAACUAAUAACGUUGUCUUGAUUUAUUAGUUAUUACCUUAGCUAGUUAUAAUAACAGGGUUCAUUGCAUCAACUGCAGUUAAACUGUUUUGCUCCUCGCAAGUAUGUGGUCCUUGUUGAUUUCUUUAAAAACAGGUGAAUGGAGAAGAUUUAAUAUUUCUUUAUACUUGCUUUUGUGUUUUUUGUUUUGAAGGGAGAUUUGUUUGAUCAUGAAAGUUUGGUGAAGGCUAUAAAGCAAGUGGAUGUUGUUAUCUCUACAGUUGGUCAUGCUCAGUUAGUUGAGCAAGACAGGAUCAUUGCUGCAAUUAAAGAAGCUGGAAAUGUUAAGGUAUACAUGUAGUUAAUUUUGUUUGGGGUUUGAGAAUUACUAAUUUUAGCAAUCAUAGGCUUGUUAAUGCAAAUUGUUUGUUUUAUUGCAGAGAUUUUUCCCAUCAGAGUUUGGAAAUGAUGUGGAUAGAGUGAAUGCUGUUGAACCAGCAAAAUCAGCGUUUGCAACGAAGGCGAACGUAAGAAGGGCUAUUGAGGCUGAAGGGAUUCCAUACACCUAUGUAUCUUCCAAUUUUUUUUCUGGCUAUUUCCUUCUUUCUUUUAACCAGCCUGGAGCCACAGCUCCUCCAAGAGAUAAAGUUGUCAUCUUGGGUGAUGGAAAUCCUAAAGGUAAUGUUUCACAGAUUCUGUUGAAGAUUUUCCUGUGAUGGAAUAAAUUCCUGAUAACUUUCAUAUAUUUAUGUGCUAUUCAACUGCAGUGGUUUAGAACUGCAAAUGUUUAAGUAGGCUCAGUAUCCUGUUUAUUUGAGCACACCCUCCAUGGAUUUUGAAUGAUGAUCUGGAUUUUAUCACAAGCAUUAUCGGUCUUUAUCUGCUAAAACUGUAAAAAAACAUGUGACUGUUUUAGGCAAGUAUUCACUAGCCUGUUAGGUGUUCUCUGUAGCAAGAAGGACUCCAAUAUUUAAGCAUGCGCAAAUAGGAUGGUGCUUGUAGCUUGAUGCUGACUGAAUUGCAUGAAUCUUACAGUUUCAUGUUUUGAUCUACAGCUGUUUUCAACAAAGAAGAUGACAUUGCCACCUAUACUAUCAAAGCAGUGGAUGAUCCCAGAACCUUGAACAAAAUUCUCUACAUUAAACCCCCAGCCAACACCAUCUCAUUCAAUGAUCUUGUGUCCUUGUGGGAGAAGAAGAUUGGGAAAACCCUUGAAAGGAUCUAUGUUCCAGAGGAGCAACUUCUGAAAAAUAUCCAAGGUAAGAAAAUCAUUUCAUUAGCUUUUAUGCAAACAGCCUUAAUACUGACAGAGGAAAAUCUCUUCAGUUUAUAAGCAUCUAUUUAGAACUCUGUCAGCUGGGGGUACUGUCGAUUUUCCAAGAAACAAUUUCGAGAAAAAUCUCUGCCCUUGACAUAGUUUAAAUAUAUUUAACGAGUUUAAAUAAUUGUUAGCAGAUCUGAGUUUGAAUUGUUAAGAGGUAGCAUGGCAAAGUUAGCAAGUUUGACAUUGCUUGUCUCUCUGUUUUUCAGAAGCUUCGGUUCCAGUCAACGUGGUUUUGUCAAUUGGGCACUCGGUGUUCGUAAAGGGAGAUCACACCAACUUCGAGAUUGAACCAUCAUUUGGUGUAGAGGCUUCGGAGCUUUACCCUGAUGUCAAAUACACUACUGUGGAUGAAUAC